rfam:Prunus persica cultivar Lovell chromosome G2, whole genome shotgun sequence.
GGGUUUCAAUUGGAGCUCUUCUUCACUCUAAUUCUGAAAAGAGGUGAUGGUAGACCACGACUGCUAAUUCAUGAAUACCCUCAAGUAUGCACGUUAGCGACAGAUGUGCGCAUGUUAAGGGUUUGCAUGAAGUAGGAGACGGGGUUACUUUGAUCUUUUCGGUUUGGAGUGAAGAGAGCUCCAAAUUGAUCUUUC